GCUUCAGAAAUCCUUAAUGUCAUCUUUUGAAACAAAUGAAUCCUUUUUACUGAAUCUCAUCUAAUCAAGCUAUAUCUACUGACAAAAGAGCCUACAGUAGACAUUUCAAUUUGUACAUCUUUAAUAAAAUGAUCAAACAAGAAAAAUAAAUAAAAAGAAUACCUCACAGGGCAAGGCCCAUUCAAAGAGACUAAUUUGCAGUUCAAAUUCUAC
rnacentral:lncRNA from 1 species